rnacentral:tRNA from 1 species
AUUAGAGGAGCUAGUUGGAAAGCUCCUGGUUCAUAGCCAGAAGGACCGAGUUCAACUCUCGGGUUAAUA